GAUGAACGCUGGCGGCGUGCCUAAUACAUGCAAGUCGAGCGAACGGACGAGAUGCUUGCUUCUCUGAUGUUAGCGGCGGACGGGUGAGUAACACGUGGAUAACCUACCUAUAAGACUGGGAUAACUUCGGGAAACCGGAGCUAAUACCGGAUAAUAUUUUGAACCGCAUGGUUCAAAAGUGAAAGACGGUCUUGCUGUCACUUAUAGAUGGAUCCGCGCUGCAUUAGCUAGUUGGUAAGGUAACGGCUUACCAAGGCAACGAUGCAUAGCCGACCUGAGAGGGUGAUCGGCCACACUGGAACUGAGACACGGUCCAGACUCCUACGGGAGGCAGCAGUAGGGAAUCUUCCGCAAUGGGCGAAGGCCUGACGGAGCAACGCCGCGUGAGUGAUGAAGGUCUUCGGAUCGUAAAACUCUGUUAUUAGGGAAGAACAUAUGUGUAAGUAACUGUGCACAUCUUGACGGUACCUAAUCAGAAAGCCACGGCUAACUACGUG
rnacentral:rRNA from 1 species